UAUCGUUCUAAGUGAGUGACGUCACACUGCCAAGAAAAGCUUCUAGUUAGAAUCAGACCGCCCGUACCGCAAACCGACACAGGUAGUCGGGUCGAGAAGACCAAGGUGAGCGAGAGAACUCUCGUUAAGGAACUCGGCAAAAUGACCCCGUAACUUCGGGAGAAGGGGUGCUGAUCGCAAGAUCAGCCGCAGUGAAUAGGCCCAGGCGACUGUUUAUCAAAAACACAGGUUUCUGCAAAAUCGUAAGAUGAAGUAUAGGGGCUGACGCCUGCCCGGUGCUGGAAGGUUAAGAGGAUGGGUUAGCGCAAGCGAAGCUCAGAAUUGAAGCCCCAGUAAACGGCGGCCGUAACAAUAACGGUCCUAAGGUAGCGAAAUUCCUUGUCGGGUAAGUUCCGACCCGCACGAAAGGCGUAACGAUCUGGGCACUGUCUCAACGAGAGACUCGGUGAAAUUAUAAUACCCGUGAAGAUGCGGGUUACCCGCGACAGGACGGAAAGACCCCAUGGAGCUUUACUGUAGCUUGAUAUUGGGUGUUUGUACAACUUGUACAGGAUAGGUAGGAGCCGUAGAAGUCGGGGCGCUAGUUUCGACGGAGGCAUCGGUGGGAUACUACCCUCGUUGUAUGAACACUCUAACCCACGCCGGCAAUCACGGCGGGAGACAGUGUCAGGUGGGCAGUUUGACUGGGGCGGUCGCCUCCUAAAAGGUAACGGAGGCGCCCAAAGGUUCCCUCAGAAUGGUUGGAAAUCAUUCGCAGAGUGUAAAGGCAUAAGGGAGCUUGACUGCGAGACCUACAAGUCGAGCAGGGACGAAAGUCGGGCUUAGUGAUCCGGUGGUUCCGCAUGGAAGGGCCAUCGCUCAACGGAUAAAAGCUACCCUGGGGAUAACAGGCUUAUCUCCCCCAAGAGUCCACAUCGACGGGGAGGUUUGGCACCUCGAUGUCGGCUCAUCGCAUCCUGGGGCUGUAGUCGGUCCCAAGGGUUGGGCUGUUCGCCCAUUAAAGCGGUACGCGAGCUGGGUUCAGAACGUCGUGAGACAGUUCGGUCCCUAUCCGUCGCGGGCGCAGGAAAUUUGAGAGGAUCUGUCCUUAGUACGAGAGGACCGGGAUGGACAUACCGCUGGUGUACCAGUUGCUCUGCCAAGGGCAUCGCUGGGUAGCUAUGUAUGGAUGAGAUAAACGCUGAAAGCAUCUAAGUGCGAAACUCACCUCGAGAUAAGAUUUCCCACUCCUUUAUGGAGUUAAGACCCCUGAGAGAUGAUCAGGUAGAUAGGAUGGAAGUGGAAGUGCGGCGACGCAUGGAGCGGACCAUUACUAAUCGGUCGAGGACUUAACU
rnacentral:rRNA from 1 species